rnacentral:rRNA from 1 species
AGAGUUUGAUCCUGGCUCAGGAUGAACGCUGGCGGCGUGCCUAAUACAUGCAAGUCGAACGCACAGCGAAAGGUGCUUGCACCUUUCAAGUGAGUGGCGAACGGGUGAGUAACACGUGGAUAACCUACCUCAAGGUUGGGGAUAACAUUUGGAAACAGAUGCUAAUACCGAAUAAAACUUCGUAUCGCAUGAUACAAGGUUAAAAGGCGCUACGGCGUCACCUAGAGAUGGAUCCGCGGUGCAUUAGUUAGUUGGUGGGGUAAAGGCCUACCAAGACAAUGAUGCAUAGCCGAGUUGAGAGACUGAUCGGCCACAUUGGGACUGAGACACGGCCCAAACUCCUACGGGAGGCUGCAGUAGGGAAUCUUCCACAAUGGGCGAAAGCCUGAUGGAGCAACGCCGCGUGUGUGAUGAAGGCUUUCGGGUCGUAAAGCACUGUUGUAUGGGAAGAACAGCUAGAGUAGGGAAUGACUUUAGUUUGACGGUACCAUACCAGAAAGGGACGGCUAAAUACGUGCCAGCAGCCGCGGUAAUACGUAUGUCCCGAGCGUUAUCCGGAUUUAUUGGGCGUAAAGCGAGCGCAGACGGUUGAUUAAGUCUGAUGUGAAAGCCCGGAGCUCAACUCCGGAAAGGCAUUGGAAACUGGUCAACUUGAGUGCAGUAGAGGUAAGUGGAACUCCAUGUGUAGCGGUGGAAUGCGUAGAUAUAUGGAAGAACACCAGCGGCGAAGGCGGCUUACUGGACUGUAACUGACGUUGAGGCUCGAAAGUGUGGGUAGCAAACAGGAUUAGAUACCCUGGUAGUCCACACCGUAAACGAUGAACACUAGGGGUUUGGGAGGUUUCCCCCUCCUAGUGCCGGAAGCUAACCCAUUUAAGUUUUCCCCCUGGGGGGUACGCCCGCAAGGUUAAAACUCAAAGGAAUUGACGGGGACCCGCACAAGCGGUGGAGCAUGUGGUUUAAUUGGAAGCAACGCGAAGAACCUUACCAGGUCUUGACAUCCUUUGAAGCUUUUUAGAGAUAGAAGUGUUCUCUUCGGAGACAAAGUGACAGGUGGUGCAUGGUCGUCGUCAGCUCGUGUCGUGAGAUGUUGGGUUAAGUCCCGCAACGAGCGCAACCCUUAUUGUUAGUUGCCAGCAUUCAGAUGGGCACUCUAGCGAGACUGCCGGUGACAAACCGGAGGAAGGCGGGGACGACGUCAGAUCAUCAUGCCCCUUAUGACCUGGGCUACACACGUGCUACAAUGGCGUAUACAACGAGUUGCCAACCUGUGAAGGUGAGCUAAUCUCUUAAAGUACGUCUCAGUUCGGACUGCAGUCUGCAACUCGACUGCACGAAGUCGGAAUCGCUAGUAAUCGCGGAUCAGCACGCCGCGGUGAAUACGUUCCCGGGUCUUGCACUCACCGCCCGUCA